rnacentral:rRNA from 1 species
GAAUUCACUAGUGAUUCAGGCCUAACACAUGCAAGUCGAGCGGUAGAGAGAAGCUUGCUUCUCUUGAGAGCGGCGGACGGGUGAGUAAUGCCUAGGAAUCUGCCUGGUAGUGGGGGAUAACGUCCGGAAACGGACGCUAAUACCGCAUACGCCCUACGGGGGAAAGCAGGGGACCUUCGGGCCUUGCGCUAUCAGAUGAGCCUAGGUCGGAUUAGCUAGUUGGUGGGGUAAUGGCUCACCAAGGCGACGAUCCGUAACUGGUCUGAGAGGAUGAUCAGUCACACUGGAAAGGAGACACGGUCCAGACUCCUACGGGAGGCAGCAGUGGGGAAUAUUGGACAAUGGGCGAAAG